rnacentral:lncRNA from 1 species
AAAAGGUGUUGGAAAUUUGUAGAAAUUAGGCCUCAAGAAUUCUGGAAAAAUGGUAUGCAACAAAGCUGAAAAUUUGCAGAUUUACUUGAGCAAGAUGAACUCUAAUGGAACUCGACAAAUCCCUAUGCAAUUAGCUCAAAAUCCGACCAGAAUUUUGAUGUUAAUGGUGCAGAUUUGGACUAGAAAUUGGACACACUUGACACGAUAUAUUGCUUGAAAAUUACACUACGAAACCUGUUUACUUGGACAAAACUGACGCAAGAAUCUAGAAACUAUUGGGCUUGAACAAGGAAACUAUGACGCUUUGUAAUCCAAAAUUGUUUUGGACAUGUUUUGGACCACCAAACUCGAUUAAAACUGGAAAAUAAAGACUUAAGACAGAUUAUAUAUGGCUGCAAAAACCAGUUUUAAAGCUGGAACAAAGACACAAGAAUCGGCUGAAAUUUUUAUGGAACUUAGAAUAAACACUCUACCCGAUGUAUGUGUUGCUGGAAACUUGAAAGCUAAGUUCGAUUGCUCUUUGGCUUCAAUCCUAAGAGGCAAGGUGUUCAGAUUUUGCAGCUGGAAACAAGUAUCCAAUCCCAACAAAGCUUUGACGUCCAGAAUUUGGAAACAAAAAGUCCAAGUUGCUUUCGGUUGACAAAUCAAAUUUGGCUACUUAUUUGUAACUCAAUGCUAAUGAUCCGAUUGUGAUUCUUCUUCUCGUUUUUUUUUCUUUUUUUUGCUCAAAUUCUUUUUAUUUCUUUUCUUU